rnacentral:rRNA from 1 species
UGGGGAAUAUUGCACAAUUGGCGCAAGCCUGAUGCAGCCAUGCCGCGUGUAUGAAGAAGGCCUUCGGGUUGUAAAGUACUUUCAGCGGGGAGGAAGGGAGUAAAGUUAAUACCUUUGCUCAUUGACGUUACCCGCAGAAGAAGCACCGGCUAACUCCGUGCCAGCAGCCGCGGUAAUACGGAGGGUGCAAGCGUUAAUCGGAAUUACUGGGCGUAAAGCGCACGCAGGCGGUUUGUUAAGUCAGAUGUGAAAUCCUCGGGCUCAACCUGGGAACUGCAUCUGAUACUGGCAAGCUUGAGUCUCGUAGAGGGGGGUAGAAUUCCAAGUAUAGCGGUGAAAUGCGUAGAGAUCUGGAGGAAUACCGGUGGCGAAGGCGGCCCCCUGGACAAAGACUAACGCUCAGGUGCGAAAGCGUGGGGAGCAAACAGG